rnacentral:tRNA from 1 species
GCAGGUGUAGUUUAAUGGUAAAACAUCAGCUUCCCAAGCUGAGGUCGGGGGUUCGAUUCCCCUCACCUGCU